rnacentral:lncRNA from 1 species
UAUAUGAAAAGCAGCUCAAUGAAUACCAAUGAAGUUAUAACAUGCUAAACAAGAAAUUUUGACAGAACCACAUACUUUGACCCACAAGCAGAGAACUUAAAUGCCAACAUUGAAGGCAGACAAUUUUGUAGCAUACACGAAAUACAUGAACAUUUCCACGCAUAAAAAUGAAACUGACUGCAAAUCCAAAGAUAAAUUCAGAAUCCAAAACCAGCAACCAGAAGGCAAUACAUAUCAGCUUAUUUUCCAGUAAAACUAGAUGGUAGAGAGCUUUUCAGAGUCACAGAUAAUUCGAGUAUUGAUAACUAACUUCAGUAUCUGUGCUCCAUCUUCUCCUUUUUCAGGUACUACUGCACAUACGAAUAGGUGCCGACGACGGGGCUGAGAAGGAGCAUGGCGCUGAGCCAAUUCUCGGAGAUCUUGCCGGACAAAUCCUUCCAGAGGCGACAACGAGGUUCCAUAUCCCAAUUUUUCCCUGUUCCCAAAACUCCAAACGAAAGGAGCCCUAAUUCAGUGUCAACGAUAGGCCUCGCC